CAGCCCCAAGGACUUAAGAUUUUAAGCCAGGCUGUGUGGCUUUUAAAAUCUAUGGUAUGUUGCUUAAUUAUUGGAAAUGUAAUGACUGAUUAAAAUUAAAAGUAUUAGCAAAAGCACGGUGCGUUUCCAGGAAAGGCAACACUAAAAGUAAUUGCAGAACUCUGGGGACGUAACAGGAGCCAUGCAGUAAUAAAGCAUCGAAUGGACGGAACGAAGAGUCAUUCAAGUAGGGGACGGUGGGAUUUUGAGGCGUCCAGAGUUUGGGUGAAACACUCUCAGAAAAGAGCAAGCAGAGGUUCAUUGAGCUGGGGAAGUCCAGACAGAAUGGAGAACUGGUGGUGCAUCAGAAUGAGGUGCUGUGGGGAUGCUCAGCAUCCCCUUUGUUUUUGAAUCUUUUCAACGAAGCUGUUUCCUGGUGAUAUCACAGUGAAUUGUUGGGGAAGAUGUGAGAUUUGAAGCUUGGAAAUUUGGAGAUCCCUCUUUAGAAAGUCCUGUUCUCGAACAACCCUCUAGCUUUAUGGACCCCAAGGACUUGCUUAAUGGCUCUGAUCUCAGCCCAAGAAAGAAUGUCAUAGAGCAGAUGUUGGUGCAAUUUUGGAUAAAAAAGAAUCACAAAAGCAACACAGGACAGCACAUAAAAUCACAUACUUGGAAAGGCACAGAUUGACAAAAUUUAGAAAACAGUAACAUUUCAUUAUAUAAGAGAAUCGGGGCAGCCCCAUAGGUGUUUAUGUAAUAUAAUUUGCCCAUGAUUUUCAAACCAGCAAAAUCCUCUCUUAAAUGUCCACAUCAUCCACCUUGGACUUCCUUUACAUUAAAAUAUGUCCUAUGUC